rnacentral:lncRNA from 1 species
UACAAAAGUCCAAUAGAAUGAACUAAGACAUAUUUAAGAGUUUGUAUUAACGCUACAGUUAAGGAAUGAAAACUAUUCUUUUUUUUUUUUUUUUUUGAGAGGUAGAGUUUUAUUACAUCUUGCAGGUUAGAGUUCAUCUUGGAGGAAAGCCAAGGCAGAGAUCGGGCCAGGAACCUGGAGGCCAAACCUGAAGCAGAAAGCAUGGAGGGAUGCUGCUUACGGGCUCGUUCUCCAUGGUUUGCUCUGCCCAUUUUCUUUCUUUUUUUUUUUAUAUUUUUUUGUUAUGUAUUUUCCUCAAUUACAUUUCCAAUGCUAUCCCAAUUGUCCCCCAUAACCUCCCCCCCCCCACUCCCCUACCCACCCAUUUACACUUUUUGGCCCUGGCGUUCCCCUGUACUGGGGCAUAUAAAGUUUGUGUGUCCAAUGGGCCUCUCUUUCCAGUGAUGGCCGACUAGGCCAUCUUUUGAUACAUAUGCAGCUAGAGUCAAGAGCUCUGAGGUACUGGUUAGAUAAUAAUGUUGUUGCACCUACAGGGUUGCAGAUCUCUUUGGCUCCUUGGAUAUUUUCUCUAGCUCCUCCAUUGGGGGCCCUGUGAUCCAUCCAAUAGCUGACUGUGAGCAUUCACUUAUGUGUUUGCUAGACCCCAGCCUAGUCUCACAAGAGACAGCUCUAUCAGGGUCCUUUCAGCAAAUGCUUGCUAGUGUAUGCAAUGGUGUCAUCAUUUGGAGGCUACUUAUGGGAUGGAUCCCUGGAUAUGGCAGUCUCUAGAUGGUCCAUCCUUUUGUCUCAGCUCCAAACUUUGUCUCUGUAACUCCUUCCAUGGGUGAUUGUUUCCAAUUCUAAGAAGGGGCAAAGUGUCCACACUUUGGUCUUCGUUCUUCUUGAGUUUCAUGUGUUUUGCAAAUUGUAUCUUAUAUCUAGGGUAUACUAAGUUUCUGGGCUAAUAUUCACUUAUCAGUGAGUACAUAUCAUUUGAGUUCUUUUGUGAUUGUGUUACCUCACUCAGGAUGAUGCCCUCCAGGUCCAACCAUUUGCCUAGGAAUUUCAUAAAUUCAUAAGGAAUGAAGACUAUUCUGAUAUCAAACUAUUACAAGUUUUAUAAAAUAAAAAAGAUGUGGCUAUGAUUUUAUAUUCCCUAUGUAUACUCAAACUUCUGUCUUUUACUGGAAAAUGCAUCUCUCUAGUAUUUACCAUUUGUAAUAAACUAUUCACAUUUCCCAAGCCUGUAUAGAAGGGCAAGUAAGAAGCACAGAAUGCACUUUUCCACUAAAAUUAAUCUCUUCAUGUUACAAGGGUUCAGUCCUAGAUAAAGUGAAAGACAGGCCUUUUCAAACUUAAAGUAUGAAGAAUAUGUGACCGUCUCUCACCAGUGCUUCUCAGUGUCUUCAAACCCUGAUCAAACACAUAAUAGUGAUGGCUAGUGUUCUGUGACUGACAACCCUCUGUUUAGAGCAUCACCUGGUCUGUGACAUUUGGAAGACAUUAGAGCAGUCCAGUGUGUGAAGUGCUUGCAAAUAGCAUAAACAACAUGCACACACCUAUACACACUUGUGCAACCACACAUGUACAAUCUUGAAUAAACUAUAACACACACAACAUACAAAGAGAUACUUAAAAUAAAUGACAUAGUAUAAGGGACAUUGGUGUUUUCUGUGAAACUGUGUCCCACAGAUAUUAAUAUGGUUUCAUGUAUGUCCUAAGUCAUCCCACAACAAAAUAUGGACUUGUUUAAAUGGGUCUGGACUUUUAGCAUUAUACAUGUAUGGAUAUUCAUAUAUUAACAUACAUUUAUACGGUAUAUUUAUACACAUACACAAAUGCACCCAGGCAUAAGCAUGCACACAAGACACCCAUGCUCUAGUGUAUGUGUGCACACAUUCAUAUGCACACAUGUAUCUAUGUGUGGUCUGUAUGUGUAAGUGCGCAAAGGUCUUUUACAUUAAGAUACUCUGUCAUCCAACACUUUAAAAGUUUUAUAUAUGAAAUAUUUCUUCUCAGGUCCUAAGUAAAAUUGCUAUUCAGUGAAUUCACAGCAGAUUUAAUAUAAAUAAAAUAUUCUAUUAAAAUUACUUCAAUGAAGUUAUGAUUUUUGCUCUCACCGAUUUUGCUAAAUCAAGGAGAAGUCUCUUCCAAGAUUUAUUUCAUUUUAAGAAAACAAUCAGUAUUAAUCCUGAGUUCAAGAACACAUCUGUUCAUCAGCUGCUAAUAAUAAUAAACUCUCUUCAAAGGGGAUGUUUGAUAAGAGAACCUCAAAGCCUUCAUCAUAAUUUGUCUCUGUGUGUUGACCCUAUGUCCCUCAGUGGUUCAGUGACAGAGGCAGUGAUUUCAAAGCCUGAAAUGUUUCUAGAAUGCCAGAAAUUAGCAUCUGAUUCACUACUCUCACAGAAUGGCAGCAAAUUCUCUAAGAGAGUAAACAUGCAGGAUUGGAGCUUGAAAAAGCCAUGCUAAUAUUCUUCAAAUGAACCCUCAUUUGUCCUCU